rnacentral:rRNA from 1 species
UAUUUUGGUGUUUGGUUUUUAAUUAGUGUUGCAUACUAGUAUAGUAGAAUUUUAUGGCUAUAUAUUAUAGAAGUAGAAAGUCAAAAGAGACUAAUUUUUUUCGUUGCGUGAUGAUUAUUAGUUUUUUUUGUUUUGAUAUGUCGAUUUCUAUUAUAUCUGUGUUAUUAUUUUUUAUUAGAAAUUUGUUUGGUUGUGUUGUUUAUUUGAGGUUUUAUGAUUUAGAGUUUUAUUUUUAAAAGUGUUAUGACUUGCCUUUUUUUGUGUUUUAUUAAUUUUAUUGUUGUUAAUUUAUUAACAAUCUUUUGGUCUUUUCUUUAGUAGAUGUUGGUUUAUUUUUUGUUUUUGUUGAAUUUAAUUUUGAGAACUCAGAGUAUGAUCAAAUGUUUUUUAAAGACUGAUGUUUUUAUGUAAAACUGUCUUCUGCUCUAUGAAAUUUUUAAAUGGCCGCCUUAGCGUGAGGGCAUGAAAGUAGCAAAAUGAUUUGUGUUUUUAUUGGAUUCGAGUAUGAAAGGAGGUUUUGGUUGUUUUUAUUCUUUUUUUGUUUUGAACUAUUUUUGUAUUUAAAAAUUAAUAUAAAUAAUUGUACAAAGAUAAGUCUUCGGAAAUUCUGUUGAUUUGCUGUCAUAGUGUUUGGAUAGUAAUUCGGGUUGUUUAGGGCAAAAGUGUAUGUAGUUUGUUUUUACUAGUUUUAAUGUAGAGAGUUACUCCGGAGUUAACAGAAAUUUACGUUUUUUCUAGAUGUUAUGGAAAAAAGGAUUUUACAUCGAUGUUGUAUUUUAGUUGGGUAAAGGAGUAGUAAUUUUGUUUUUUGAGACUGUUCUUCUUUUAGGAAACUAAACGUGAUAUUAGUUUAAUUCAUUGUGAGAUAGAAUUGAUUAUCUUGUUGAUUAUUAGAAUUUGGAGUGGUUAGUACGAAAGGAAAAUUAUUGAAGUUUUAAAUUUAUUUUUUCG